UACGUAGGGUGCGAGCGUUAAUCGGAAUUACUGGGCGUAAAGCGUGCGCAGGCGGUUUUGUAAGCCAGAUGUGAAAUCCCCGGGCUUAACCUGGGAAUGGCAUUUGGGACUGCAAGGCUUGAGUGCGGCAGAGGAGACUGGAAUUCCUGGUGUAGCAGUGAAAUGCGUAGAUAUCAGGAGGAAUACCGAUGGCGAAGGCAGGUCUCUGGGCCACUACUGACGCUGAGAAGCGAAAGCAUGGGGAGCGAACAGG
rnacentral:rRNA from 1 species